UGAGCGCACACACAUCAUAACCAUGACUGCAUGAGAGCAGCAGAGCUAGACUUCAAGACAAACUUAUAAACAAAACAAUUAAAUUGGAGCGAUGCUGUGACGAAUAUUCUCUGCACUGCGUCAUGCCGCUGACUGGAUAGCAUCUUGCUGUUGCUCCUCUAAAAAGGACAGGACGGCAGCAGGAUGUCUGUACCAGUGUAAAGGGCAGAAAGUGUGGACAGUCUCUGGUGGUGAAACACCAUCCAGUCCGAAUCUUCCUUAAUUCCUCUCAGCAGAAUGAACAGAAAAGAUGGCCUUCAUCUGUCCACAUCCAGCAUGUCGGUCUGUGUUGCUCUGCAGUUGUUAUAAUGAUGACUUGUCUGAAAACUCCUUGUUGGGAAGCUGGAUAAUGUCUGACAGCUGACAAUUGCAGCAGUGGCUCAGAGGUGACUUACACCUGUACCGUAUGUACGAAUAUUAUGGUAAAAUACUAAUCCAAUGAAUGAAAUAAAUUUUAGUUGAGAUCAUCUAAUUGUCUGUGGCAUGAAUGCAUCUUUACACCCUCACCAAGAGAGGCUUAUUUUUCUCUUGUGAGACUAUUUUCCUGAGUAUCUGGCGCCACCAUGUGGUUGUAAAAAUAACCGCAGGAGUCAAAUUACCUGACCAACUCAAGACAGAAAACUGCUUCAUCAAUUAGGAAACAAUGUAGAAUUAUGAGGUAUUUAAUCACACCCCAACCCCCACCAUAAGUGGGGAGCCACAGAUUCAAAGAGGCGUCUUCAUGGUUGUUUUGCCUCUUUGGGGUCAUUUUGCAUUUCUUUGUGGACAGUUUGUAACUCUUAGUAAUUUUGUGUCUUUUUGUGUAUGUUUUGUCACUCUUACUUGUUUUCUGUCACUUUUUGGUUGUUUUAUUUCUUUGCUGUGUUUUUAUCUCUGUCGUUUUGUCACUCUCAGUUGGUUUGUCUCAAUUUGCGUAUCUUUAUUGUUGUUUGAUUGACUUCCCAAAGAGAAACGUUAACAGUCACUUCAAACAGAGGCUCUGGUCCAGGGGCCCCUCUCACCCAUUUGGCCAGUGGGCCUGGGCCCACCUGGCCCAUUCACUGAUUUGUCCAUGUGCAGGGCUGACACACAUAGACAGAGUCUCCCAUGCACUUAAUGCACCUUCGCUAAGCACCUUCUGACAUUGCACUCGGACUGGAAACCAGAGCAACCAGAGGAAAUCAGUGGGAACAAGCAACCUCCACAUAGACUCUCCAAACUCCACCCACGCUGACAGGUUCAAACCCAGGAUCCAGUGUGCUGUUUACCUACCCAGUGUUUUUACCCUGCCAUUUGCUUUGACUGAUAUACUGGGUCUCCAACCACUGAGACGCUGAACAGGAUACUAAG